UACGAAGGGGGCUAGCGUUGUUCGGAAUUACUGGGCGUAAAGCGCGCGCAGGCGGUCUUCCAAGUCAGUGGUGAAAGCCCAGAGCUCAACUCCGGAACUGCCAUUGAAACUGUAAGACUUGAGGAUGAGAGAGGUGAGUGGAAUUCCCAGUGUAGAGGUGAAAUUCGUAGAUAUUGGGAAGAACACCGGUGGCGAAGGCGGCUCACUGGCUCAUAUCUGACGCUCAGGCGCGACAGCGUGGGGAUCAAACAGG
rnacentral:rRNA from 1 species